UCGGCACAAAAUCAGGCAAACAGAUCACGCUAACGAAAAUCAAAAAGCGAAAAUCGCAUGACCAAACACUUCUCGAUUGAAAAAACAUCCCGGCUCCUCCGAUUGAACUGAGGAAUUACCGGUUCCGUCAGGAUCGCGAUUCGCUGCGGAGGCUGCUGCUCAUGCGAGCCCGCCAGCCCAAUUGGCAGCGAGCGCCCGAGAAUCGGAAUGCGUGGAGGCGAGACGGAGGAGGUUGAAGAGGAGGAGGAGCUUCUCUCUCCGUGGGGUUUUCUGUAUUUCGGAUUGAGAUCUACG
rnacentral:lncRNA from 1 species